UCCCUGGUGGCUCAGAUGGUAAAGAAUCUGCCUGCAAUGCAGGAGACCUGGGUUGGAUCCCUAGGUAGGGAA
rnacentral:tRNA from 1 species